UGAACGCUGGCGGCUGCCUUACACAUGUAAGUCGAACGGUAGCUGGGGGGCAACCUUGGUGGGGAGUGGCGAACGGGUGAGUAAUAUAUCGGAACGUGACCUAGAGUGGGGGAUAACUAGUCGAAAGACUAGCUAAUACCGCAUACGAUCUACGGAUGAAAGUGGGGGAUCGCAAGACCUCCUGCUCAUGGACCGGUCGAUAUCUGAUUAGCUAGUUGGUAGGGAAAAAGCCUACCAAGGGAUCGAUCAUUAGCUGGUCUGAGAGGACGACCAGCCACACUGGGACUGAGACACGGCCCAAACUCCUACGGGAGGCAGCUGUGGGGAAUUUUGGACAAUGGGGGCAACCUUGAUCCAGCAAUGCCGCGUGAGUGAAGAAGGCCUUCGGGUUGUAAAGCUCUUUUGUCAGGGAAGAAACGGUGGACUCUAAUACAGACCACUAAUGACGGUACCUGAAGAAUAAGCACCGGUUAACUACCUGCCAGCAGCCGCGGUAAUACGUAGGGUGCAAGCGUUAAUCGGAAUUACUGGGCGUAAAGCGUGCGCAGGCGGCUAUGUAAGACAGGUGUGAAAUCCCCGGGCUUAACCUGGGAAUUGCAUUUGUGACUGCAUGGCUAGAGUGUGUCAGAGGGGGGUAGAAUUCCUCGUGUAGCAGUGAAAUGCGUAGAGAUGUGGAGGAAUACCGAUGGCGAAGGCAGCCCCCCUGGGAUAACACUGA
rnacentral:rRNA from 1 species